rnacentral:lncRNA from 1 species
UGAGACGAUCUGGCCCCUGGACGCAAACCGCCCCUGCGGAGGACGCGAAGACGUCAGGACGCUGAAGGGCCUCCGGCACCCGACACGCCAGUUCCCUGCAGCCUCUGCAUUUUGCUGCUGCAACGUGAACAGCCAACAGCAAUCUUGCACCUGCUAAGCUCUCUCAGGAGCCUCCCUCCACCUCGGCCUACGCCACCCUGCCUGGCUGCUUUUAAUCCUCUCCAGGCCAUUGUGACCUGUCACCAUCACACAUUCCUUUGUCCUUGUUCCCCAAUAGCCUCCCUCGCGGGCCAAGGACACCAUCUUCUUGCCAAACGCUACACCGCCCUGCCGCAGACCGGCGACGCUGCGGAGGGAUUUGUGAGCCCUGAGUCAAUUCUGCCAAGGCUGUAGGAGGAGGUGGAUAUAAAUGGAACUCGUAGAUGUGUCACAUACUGGGGUGCACCACGAGAAGCAGGCUUACUGCCAGUCACACGUCCAUCAGUUAGGUCAGGGUUGGUUGAGGCUGGAGGAUAUGCGGAGGAUGGAGUCAGCGGUGUCAAGCCACAGAGGACUUUUAGAGGCAAAAGGAAGCAGAAAGUAGAAUGGUGUUUCCCGGGAGUUUGGUAGAGGAGGACAGAGGGAGUUGCCUUUCAAUGGGUGUACAGUCUCAGUGAUGCGUGAUGGAAAGCUUCUGGAGAUGUGCUCUACAAUGCUGUGCUUGUAGUUAAAGGUUCGAAGCUCUAGGGAAAAAUACAGGAGACAAUAAGCCACCAUCACCUGUGGGAACUAGAAGAGCUCUAACAGUGGCACUCUCUGGACCCAGAGGGUGGAUGUUGCCCCUCCAAUGACAGCCAUCCACCUGGCCUGCCUCCGGCAGCUGUAAUGGAGAUGCUCAUACCCUCCCCAGACGGCCACAACAGGGAGCUUGCCAAGGUUUCUCUAUCACUGCGGUGGGCACUGUACAGAUGGAAUCCCACAUGUUGGGCAAAAGAUCAGGAUCCUUUUUGAUCUCCUGCACAGCAAACUCCAGAGCUGCAGCCUGUUGAUAGUUUCUGUGGAGACACUUGCAGUUUAGAGACAAUAUCAUAAUUAAGAACUUUCUUGAAAAUACAACUUGACCUCCAUGUGUCUGUGGGCUGGUUCCUUUUUAAACUUUAAGAUACCAGAAAUUAUGAGAUGUUAUCUCUUCAGACAUUAUAAAUAGUGUUUU